AGCGUACACGGUGGAUGCCCUGGCAGUCAGAGGCGAUGAAGGACGUGCUAAUCUGCGAAAAGCGUCGGUAAGGUGAUAUGAACCGUUAUAACCGGCGAUGUCCGAAUGGGGAAACCCAGUGCAAUUCGUUGCACUAUCGUUAACUGAAUACAUAGGUUAACGAGGCGAACCGGGGGAACUGAAACAUCUAAGUACCCCGAGGAAAAGAAAUCAACCGAGAUUCCCCCAGUAGCGGCGAGCGAACGGGGAGCAGCCCAGAGUCUGAAUCAGCUUGUGUGUUAGUGGAACGGUCUGGAAAGUCCGACGGUACAGGGUGAUAGUCCCGUACACCAAAAUGCACAGGUUGUGAACUCGAAGAGUAGGGCGGGACACGUGGUAUCCUGUCUGAAUAUGGGGGGACCAUCCUCCAAGGCUAAAUACUCCUGACUGACCGAUAGUGAACCAGUACCGUGAGGGAAAGGCGAAAAGAACCCCGGCGAGGGGAGUGAAAAAGAACCUGAAACCGUGUACGUACAAGCAGUGGGAGCACCUUCGGGUGUGACUGCGUACCUUUUGUAUAAUGGGUCAGCGACUUAUAUUCUGUAGCAAGGUUAACCGUAUAGGGGAGCCGCAGGGAAACCGAGUCUUAACUGGGCGUUAAGUUGCAGGGUAUAGACCCGAAACCCGGUGAUCUAGCCAUGGGCAGGUUGAAGGUUGGGUAACACUAACUGGAGGACCGAACCGACUAAUGUUGAAAAAUUAGCGGAUGACUUGUGGCUGGGGGUGAAAGGCCAAUCAAACCGGGAGAUAGCUGGUUCUCCCCGAAAGCUAUUUAGGUAGCGCCUCGUGAAUUCAUCUUCGGGGGUAGAGCACUGUUUCGGCUAGGGGGUCAUCCCGACUUACCAACCCGAUGCAAACUACGAAUACCGAAGAAUGUUAUCACGGGAGACACACGGCGGGUGCUAACGUCCGUCGUGAAGAGGGAAACAACCCAGACCGCCAGCUAAGGUCCCAAAGUCAUGGUUAAGUGGGAAACGAUGUGGGAAGGCACAGACAGCCAGGAUGUUGGCUUAGAAGCAGCCAUCAUUUAAAGAAAGCGUAAUAGCUCACUGGUCGAGUCGGCCUGCGCGGAAGAUGUAACGGGGCUAAACCAUGCACCGAAGCUGCGGCAGCGACACUAUGUGUUGUUGGGUAGGGGAGCGUUCUGUAAGCCUGCGAAGGUGACCUGUGAGGGUUGCUGGAGGUAUCAGAAGUGCGAAUGCUGACAUAAGUAACGAUAAAGCGGGUGAAAAGCCCGCUCGCCGGAAGACCAAGGGUUCCUGUCCAACGUUAAUCGGGGCAGGGUGAGUCGACCCCUAAGGCGAGGCCGAAAGGCGUAGUCGAUGGGAAACAGGUUAAUAUUCCUGUACUUGGUGUUACUGCGAAGGGGGGACGGAGAAGGCUAUGUUAGCCGGGCGACGGUUGUCCCGGUUUAAGCAUGUAGGCUGUAUCCAGGCAAAUCCGGAUAAUCAAGGCUGAGGUGUGAUGACGAGGCACUACGGUGCUGAAGUAACAAAUGCCCUGCUUCCAGGAAAAGCCUCUAAGCAUCAGGUAACAUCAAAUCGUACCCCAAACCGACACAGGUGGUCAGGUAGAGAAUACCAAGGCGCUUGAGAGAACUCGGGUGAAGGAACUAGGCAAAAUGGUGCCGUAACUUCGGGAGAAGGCACGCUGGUGUGUAGGUGAAGUCCCUGCGGAUGGAGCUGAGACCAGUCGAAGAUACCAGCUGGCUGCAACUGUUUAUUAAAAACACAGCACUGUGCAAACACGAAAGUGGACGUAUACGGUGUGACGCCUGCCCGGUGCCGGAAGGUUAAUUGAUGGGGUUAUCCGUAAGGAGAAGCUCUUGAUCGAAGCCCCGGUAAACGGCGGCCGUAACUAUAACGGUCCUAAGGUAGCGAAAUUCCUUGUCGGGUAAGUUCCGACCUGCACGAAUGGCGUAAUGAUGGCCAGGCUGUCUCCACCCGAGACUCAGUGAAAUUGAACUCGCUGUGAAGAUGCAGUGUACCCGCGGCAAGACGGAAAGACCCCGUGAACCUUUACUAUAGCUUGACACUGAACAUUGAGCCUUGAUGUGUAGGAUAGGUGGGAGGCUUUGAAGCGUGGACGCCAGUCUGCGUGGAGCCAACCUUGAAAUACCACCCUUUAAUGUUUGAUGUUCUAACGUUGGCCCCUGACCGGGGUUGCGGACAGUGUCUGGUGGGUAGUUUGACUGGGGCGGUCUCCUCCCAAAGCGUAACGGAGGAGCACGAAGGUUAGCUAAUCCUGGUCGGACAUCAGGAGGUUAGUGCAAUGGCAUAAGCUAGCUUGACUGCGAGCGUGACGGCGCGAGCAGGUGCGAAAGCAGGUCAUAGUGAUCCGGUGGUUCUGAAUGGAAGGGCCAUCGCUCAACGGAUAAAAGGUACUCCGGGGAUAACAGGCUGAUACCGCCCAAGAGUUCAUAUCGACGGCGGUGUUUGGCACCUCGAUGUCGGCUCAUCACAUCCUGGGGCUGAAGUAGGUCCCAAGGGUAUGGCUGUUCGCCAUUUAAAGUGGUACGCGAGCUGGGUUUAGAACGUCGUGAGACAGUUCGGUCCCUAUCUGCCGUGGGCGCUGGAGAAUUGAGGGGGGCUGCUCCUAGUACGAGAGGACCGGAGUGGACGCAUCACUGGUGUUCGGGUUGUCAUGCCAAUGGCACUGCCCGGUAGCUAAAUGCGGAAGAGAUAAGUGCUGAAAGCAUCUAAGCACGAAACUUGCCCCGAGAUGAGUUCU
rnacentral:rRNA from 1 species